rnacentral:misc_RNA from 1 species
GAUGAAGAACGUAGCGAAAUGCGAUAAGUAAUGUGAAUUGCAGAAUUCCGUGAAUCAUCGAAUCUUUGAACGCACAUUGCGCCCCCUGGCAUUCCGGGGGGCAUGCCUGUCCGAGCGUCAUUUCUGCCCUCAAGCACGGCUUGUGUGUUGGGUGUGGUCCCCCCGGGGACCUGCCCGAAAGGCAGCGGCGACGUCCGUCUGGUCCUCGAGCGUAUGGGGCUCUGUCACUCGCUCGGGAAGGACCUGCGGGGGUUGGUCACCACUAUAUAUUACCACGGUUGACCUCGGAUCAGGUAGGAGUUACCCGCUGAACUUAAGCAUAUCAAUAAGCGGAGGA